rnacentral:rRNA from 1 species
ACAAAAGCGCAUGUGUUGUGAGCUCGAUGAGUAGGGCGGGACACGUGGUAUCCUGUCUGAAUAUGGGGGGACCAUCCUCCAAGGCUAAAUACUCCUGACUGACCGAUAGUGAACCAGUACCGUGAGGGAAAGGCGAAAAGAACCCCGGCGAGGGGAGUGAAAAAGAACCUGAAACCGUGUACGUACAAGCAGUGGGAGCACCCUUCGGGGUGUGACUGCGUACCUUUUGUAUAAUGGGUCAGCGACUUAUAUUCUGUAGCAAGGUUAACCGAAUAGGGGAGCCGGAGGGAAACCGAGUCUUAAUUGGGCGUUAAGUUGCAGGGUAUAGACCCGAAACCCGGUGAUCUAGCCAUGGGCAGGUUGAAGGUUGGGUAACACUAACUGGAGGACCGAACCGACUAAUGUUGAAAAAUUAGCGGAUGACCUGUGGCUGGGGGUGAAAGGCCAAUCAAACCGGGAGAUAGCUGGUUCUCCCCGAAAGCUAUUUAGGUAGCGCCUCGUGAAUUCAUCUCCGGGGGUAGAGCACUGUUUCGGCUAGGGGGCCAUCCCGGCUUACCAACCCGAUGCAAACUGCGAAUACCGGAGAAUGUUAUCACGGGAGACACACGGCGGGUGCUAACGUCCGUCGUGAAGAGGGAAACAACCCAGACCGCCAGCUAAGGUCCCAAAGUCAUGGUUAAGUGGGAAACGAUGUGGGAAGGCCCAGACAGCCAGGAUGUUGGCUUAGAAGCAGCCAUCAUUUAAAGAAAGCGUAAUAGCUCACUGGUCGAGUCGGCCUGCGCGGAAGAUGUAACGGGGCUAAACCAUGCACCGAAGCUGCGGCAGCGACACUGUGUGUUGUUGGGUAGGGGAGCGUUCUGUAAGCCUGUGAAGGUGUGUCGUGAGGC